rnacentral:rRNA from 1 species
GAUGAACGCUGGCGGCGUGCUUAACACAUGCAAGUCGAACGAUGAAGCCCAGCUUGCUGGGUGGAUUAGUGGCGAACGGGUGAGUAACACGUGAGUAACCUGCCCUUGACUCUGGGAUAAGCCCGGGAAACUGGGUCUAAUACCGGAUAGGAGCGCCUGUCGCAUGACGGGUGCUGGAAAGAUUUUUCGGUCAUGGAUGGACUCGCGGCCUAUCAGCUUGUUGGUGAGGUAAUGGCUCACCAAGGCGACGACGGGUAGCCGGCCUGAGAGGGUGACCGGCCACACUGGGACUGAGACACGGCCCAGACUCCUACGGGAGGCAGCAGUGGGGAAUAUUGCACAAUGGGCGGAAGCCUGAUGCAGCGACGCCGCGUGAGGGAUGACGGGCCUUUCGGGUCGUAAACCUUCUUUCAGCCAGGGAAAGAAAGCGAA